rnacentral:lncRNA from 1 species
UUAAAGUGCGAUAUUAUUAUUCUACACAAAAUUCUAAGCAUUUUACAUGUUUAAAUCAUUUUAAUCCGAUGCACGGUUCAUGAGUUAUUAAAUGCAUGAAGAUGAGGGUCUUUUCUGUAAAACUGCAAAACCUGGGAUAAUUGCUAAAAUCACAGAACUGAAAAAAAAACUACAUGGGCCGAAACUGAAACUGGAGCAGGCCCAACAGUAAAAAAAACAAGAGGCGCUGGGGGUGUGGCCUCACCCAUGGGCUCGGCCCAGUCGGGGGAGAGGUGAGGCCGACACGGAGCGACGCGCUGGGCCUUGGCGCGGGACAGCGGGAGCUGGGCCCGGCACGGUCGACACGGGAGGUCAACGCACAUCUGGGACGAGCGGGCGAGGCAGAGGUAGCGGGCGUUCGUCCUCGUCUCCAUGAAGCAGUACGACGCCGGCGGACUUGUCGCGGGCUCCUGGCGACAGGGUCAGCGGGAAGCGGCCGAAACGGCCAGAUCCGGUGCGCCUCAGCAGGGAACCGGCGGAUCUAGACGGCGGCGCGCACGGGACGGCAGCGGCGGAGCUUGGCGAAGCAGGGGAAGCAACAGAGGGACCUGACGGGGCGAGGGACCACGGGAACCGGCCGGAUCCGAGGCCAGGGCGGCGGGAUCCUGGGCGACGGCAAGAGGUGGCUCCCGUGCGGCGCAACAACGGGGCUCCGGCGAGCUGGGGCUGCGAUGGCGCCAUGGCUGACGAGGGAAGUUCCUGCAAGAGAGAGAGGUAUGUGUGAGAGAGAGAGAGAGCGGGAGAAAGAAGGACGAGGAGGAGGGACCGAGGGAGAGGGCGCGGGGUCGGCCUGGGGCUACUGCUGUGGCCGGCUCAAGGAGAGCUGCUGGUCUCGAGCGCGUGAGGAGGGAGAAGCUCAGGGAGGCUCGGGCAAAGGAGCAGAUGCUCCUGGACGAGGGGAGGCGCAGAGGAUCGGGCGCCAUGGGCUGCGCUGGUUGGUAGAUCGAGGGGAUCCAGAGGAGAGCGCCGGUUGGGUGGGGAAGGAUCCCGAGGGGAACUGGUUGGCGGCGGCUCAAUGGGACAAACUUCCUAGAAGCUAGGGUUUGGCCUGAUUUAGACUAGGGGGUCUUUAUAUAAGGAAAAUGGGGAGUUUGGGGUAGAUUCAGACCCUCCGAUCGAAAUCGGGCGGUUGGGAAAAAUAGACUAGGUAGUCCAAAAACAAAAACCGAGAUGUUUUUGGGAUGUUUGGGGAUGAUCUGGAUCCAACGGUGACGACAGAGCGGGUCGGGUUCGGGACAACUUUCGGGCGCGCACACGAGGGGGUCUGUGGUUGUGCAGAGAGGUUAGGUGGUUUGACAAGAGGGAAACGCAAACAUGGUUGGUCUCGGAACGGUCAACGAAAGCAAGGGGGGACACGGCAACUACGAGCAGAAACGGGUUUUAUGAAAACAUAUGGAUGCGAUGCACAUGAUGCUAUGAUGAAAUGCAUGACAUGAAACAAAAAGCAAAACGAAAGACAAAAACCCAACCACGGAGGAAAUGACAUAUCGCAUCUCCGGAAAAGGCAAGAGUUGGAGUUACGAAUAUGGAAAGUUGUAUCUGGGGCGUUACAACACUCCACCACUACGAGAGGAUCUCGUCCCGAGAUCUAGGAUGGCACCGGAGGGAAAACAGAAAGGGAAGAGAAGAGGUAAGACUAAGUUGCUUCUUCGACAAAUGAGUGAAACCAUGAACCUUGAGAGGUUGAGCAAUAUAAAAGAAAGAGUACAACAGAGAUGAACGAGAUUGCAAACAAUCUGUUAGAAAAGAGGAACAAGGAACAUUACGAGAACUUAAAGGUUGCAAAGACAUGAAUCAAGAGUUUAAUGGACAAGAUAGAAUUCGAAACCACUCCGGUUAAAACAAGAUGAGAGAGGAAGAAUUUGAGCAACACUCCGGUUGAACAUGGAAGGAAUAGAACAUGAACUUGGCAAAAUGAAAGCACUUGGAUGAGACUCCGGUUAAAAGAGGAAUGAUAGACACAACACUCCGGUUAAGUGGAUAAGCAUGGAAAAGAACAUGAUCUUGACAAAACAAGAUGAUGAGUGAAAAGAGCAACAUCACAAUGCCUCCGGAAGAAAGAAUAGAAGAUAGAUCAUUGGAAUAACAGAAUGGAGAAGAAAAUGCCAACUUCUUCCACAAAUGAGCUUGAAAAGCAUCCUUGCAAAGAAGAAUUGAACGGAGUUGUUGGAAAACCAACAACGAAAAGAAUAAGCUUGUAGUGGGCUUAUGGAAAACAUCUCAAAAUUAUGAGGUGACAACCUGCCACAAAAGAAAAACAAUUGUUUGCUUGAGAUCAACGAAGAGAUGAAAAACCUCUUUCACCGAGAAGGAUAUGGAGAAAGCUUGGAUCAUUGAUAAGCACCACAAAUAGCAACAUUCCUUAGGGAAGGCUUUAAGUGAAAUCUGACACAAGAUAACUCCAAUGAAGAGAUUGAUGGACUGAGAAGAACUCAUGCUCGAAGGAGUUGAUGGGUUUAACUACCUCAUUCUUGACAACAUAUGAAUCAUGAAACAUGAAUGAAAUUGUCAAGAGUGACAUAACACCACCUCAAAAGAUAAGGUAGAAAUAAUUGCACUUUGGAAUGCAAGAUGAAGAAUACUUGAGCUCCUCAAAACAAAACAUGUGUUGAGCACCAUGUUUAUUUUAGAGUAUAGCUUGACGAAUCAUAACUUCAAGAGAAAUCUUGAAGAACAAUUGAAGAGUGAAAGGAAUCCUUGACGAACCACCAUGUAGAGCCUCCAUGAAGAAAUCCGGUAAUAAAAGGGUGAUAGACAGGAAGAGAAGUUGAAAACACAAGGUGAAGCCUUGCAAUAAUUUAGGUGGAGCUUCGCGACGAGAUAAUGCGGAAAACUUGGAACUCCGGAAAAGAAAAGAUGAAACAUCUCGAACCGGGAAACGUGACAUGAUGAACAACUCCGGAAAGAAGAAACUAGAUUACUUGGGUGAAACAAUAAUAAGAAUUACGUUAUGCCUAUCCUUCACCAAUUUAAAUUGAUGACAAGCAACGGAUUUGGCAUACUACUUAUUCUCGUAGAAAGGAUUAAGAGGGAUAUAGCGUAAACUUGAGAAGGUAUUGAUGGAACCACCGGUGGGAUUGAAACAACGAAUAAAUUAAUAUGAGAACAAAGGAAGAGGAAUCUUGAAAAAACCACCGUAAGAAUUGGAAAUGAAAGUAGCAAAGGCACAAUUCACCGGGAAGAUUGAAAAACGAAUGAAGAUACUUGAGGGGAUUUAAAUACAUGAGAAAGAAGAGAACAUGAACUGAUUAGAGGGUAUUAGAACGAUGCACCGGUAAGAUUUGGAGAAUGAGAGUUGAAAGCUGAGAAUGAGUAAUAUUCAGAAAUGAUGGCAUUCAGAUUAUCAAGAAAGGAAGCAACUCCUGAAAUGCAUCGGAUGGUUGAAAAGAAUUCUCACAAUCGAAAACAAUUAUGAGAGGAUGACAUAAGCUAGAGCUAUGAAUCUUCAAGAUAACGGACCAAGAUUUAGGACAAAUCCUUCUUCGGUUUUCAAAAGUUGAGAACGAUGAUGAGAACCACCAUGAAUUGUUGAGAUACUCCGGGAGAAUUAAAAGAGGAAAGGUUGAGCCAAAGAUGAAAAUAAUUUGAAAACGACCUUGGAGAAGGCAUGUGACUGAUGAAAAUUCAUUCUUACGUCAAACUUCGAAAGACUUUGGGAAUGGCUCCGGGAAAAUUAGAAGAGUCGGGUAAGAUCCUGGGAAAAGACCUGUGGGUUAGGGCCCACUCAAAAGAAAACACCGUUGAAGGAUUGCUUGAAAUAGAGAUUGCACCGGUAGAAUUAAAUGGCUUGAGUGAGAUAACAACCUCGAAAUAAUUUGAACGGAUUUUGAAUGGAAACUAAUCUUCUGAGAUAUCUUGAGCACUCCGGAUAAGAAUAGAGAGAGGUGAACAAUUAAGAGGUGCACCGACAUGAGAAAGCAUUAGAAAUGAGGAAAGGAAUAUGAUCAACACCGAAAGCUUGAAUUAAAUCCACCGGAAAAGAAUACGAGAAUGAAGAAUGAUGAACUCAAAGCUCCGUUAGUAUCUUCCUGAGAAUCACCGGAUAAGAACAUUAACGAAAAAGAAUGGAGAGACUUCACAUCAAUAAAAGGAUACUUGAUUAAGAAAUAUGAGUCCUUGAAGAAAAAGGGUGGGAGGGCGGGAAAACAAAGGCAACUUGGGGACGGUUGAAACAAACACCGUUGAGAAAACUUAGAAUUGAUCUUGCAGAUGGGGAGAAUGAUGGGAUCAUCUCGAAGAGAAGCGCACCGGUUGGAAAAGAAUUAACAUGACAACCUCAAUGAUCAAAAGGAUUAGUACUCCCAUAGAAAUAUGAGAACACCGCUUGAAAGGUAUGGAAUCAACACUUGACUUUGAAGCAACUCGAAUACCACAAAUAAAACAAAACAAAGGAUUUGGCUUGCAGAAUAAGCCGGAAACAAACAUAUGAUAGAUCCCAUAUCGUAUCAUGUGUCUGUUGGAAAGAUAAAACUAGAGCUACUUGAAUUCCCACCUAUAAAACUCCCGAAACUUUCUGGUUAUGCAAUCUGGUGUUGGGGAUACAGGGGAAGCAAUAUAUCUCACCCAAACUAACAAUACCUACAUCCAGAUGUAUCCAUCCGUCAACACAUAACCAAGAAACCUUCGGAAAUCGUGUACCUCAACCUUCGAAAAGCAUCCGUUAUACGAGUUAUGGCAAUACUCCCAAACUCCCGCCCCAGUACUGGGUGGCGUCAAGGUUAUCUCACCAACAACUGCAUAAAAGAGAUUUUCGAUGUCGGCAAAACUCAGGUAUUCCAGAACCGCAACGAUAAAAUUGUGACGACAACACCUCGGAGCUCAACUCCCCGGGUCAAUGCCACAUAAUAGACAGGAGGCACCAAGAAUAAUGUUCUCGUCACAAAACCAUCGGAACGAUUCCAAGAUACCCGCGUGAUCCUAAAAAAAUUUGAGUGAAAUUUGAGGAGAGGAAAGACAAAACAUCUACGUCAAGAGUCCUCAGCAGAGCGAUGAAGGGGCUGAGGAGUAAAAAGAAUCCUACUCUCCGAUAUAUAUAAUCCUAAGACUCAAAAUAGUUUUCUUCUAGACUCAACAACGGCCAACAAUCAAGGGGGCUCCUAUGGUCGGACCUGGCUCUGAUACCAACUUGUCACGCCCAAUAUGCGACCCUAUCCAAAAGGAACUCGAAGGUCCCACCAAGGAUAGACCCGCAUAUUGAAAUGCUUUUGCAAGGUGGAUAUCAUUACAUCAACAUUACAUAAUAGAUGGGGAUACAUACAAGGGGCAUACAAUGCCACACGAAUACAACAUCACAAUACAUAAGAGCAACAUCCGACUACGGAUGAACACAAACAGAAACUCAAACGACAUCCACCCUGCUAGCCCAGGCUGCCGACCUGGAACCUAUCCCUGAUCGAAGAAUAAGUAGAAGAAGAACUCCAAAACAAGUAACAUCGCUCUCGCGUCAAGAUCAUCGCAUAACCUGUACCUACAAUCUUUUGUUGUAGUAAUCUGUGAGCCACGAGGACUCAGCAAUCCCAUUACCAUGGGUAUCAAGACUAGCAAAGCUUAAGGAAAAGGAAGGGGUAAAGUGGUGAGGCUGCAGCAGCGACUAAGCAUAUAUGGUGGCUAACAUACGCAAAUAAGAGCGAGAAGAGAGCAAGUGGAACGGUCGUGAAGCUAACAAUGAUCAAGAGGUGAUCCUGAACUCCUACUUACGUCAAACAUAACCCAAAAACUGUGUUCACUUCUCGGACUCCGCCGAAAAGAGACCAUCACGGCUACACACACGGUUGAUGCGUUUUAAUUCGGAUCUGGUGUCAAGUUAUCUACAAUUGUACAUUAACAAAUUCCCAUCUGCCUAUAAUCGCAGGCACAGCUUUCGAAAGAUUAUACCCUGCAGGGGUGUCCCAACUGAGCCCAUGACAAGCUCUCACGAUCAAUGAAGGAUAUACCUUCUCCCAGGAAGACCCGAUCAGACUCGGAAUCCCGGUUUACAAGACAUUUCGACAAUGGUAAAACAAGACCAGCAAAGCCGCCCGAUGUGCCGACAAAUCCUGAUAGGAGUCGCACGUACCUCGUUCUCAGGGCACACCGGAUAAGUCAAGCUACGAGUAAAACCAGCCCUCGAGUUGCCCCGUGGUGGCCCCGUAGGUUGCUCGGUUCGGACCAACACUUGAAGGAGCACUCGCCCGGGGGGGGCUAAAAUAAAGAUGACCCUCGGGCUCCGGAAACCCAAGGGAAAAAGGGCUAGGUGAGGCAAAUGGCGAAACCAAGGUUGGGCCUUGCUGGAGGAGUUUUAUUCAAAGCGAACUGUCAAGGGGGUCCCAUAAAUCACCCGACCGCGUAAGGAACGCAAAAUCCGGGAACAUAACACAGGUAUGACGAAAACUAGGGCGGCAAGAGUGGAACAAAACAUCAGGCAUAAGGCCGAGUCUUCCACCCUUUACCAAGUAUAUAGAUGCAUUAAUAAUAUAAGAGAUAUUGUGAUAUCCCAACCAAAAUCCUGUCCACCAUGGAGCAAUCUUCAACUUCACCUGCAACUAGCAACGCUAUAAGAGGGCUGAGCAAAGCGGUAACAUAGCCAAGCAAUGGUUUGCUAGGAAAGGUGUCAAAGGUUAGAGGUUCAUGGCAAUAUGGGAGGCUUGAUAAACAGGUGAUAGGUAGCGCAGCAAAGCGACAGAACAAAGCAACUAGCAUAACAAUGAUAGUAGUGAGAUCCAGGGUAGCGGUCAUCUUGCCUGAAAUCCCGCUAGGAAGAAUAACGAGUCCAUGAAGUAGACGAACCAAUGUAGUCAAACAAAUCCUCACAACUCCAGAACGAAACCGAAGCUAACGAGAGAAGCAAACCGGAAAGAAGCAAACAACAUGGUAAAUGCACAAUCAUAAACAUGGCAUGAUGCACAAUCAAGUAUGAUGCAUGUCCGGUUUAAUGAGGCAUGACAUGGCAAAGUGCAACAAACUAUACUACAAGUUAAGUGGAGCUCAAUAUGCAACGAGUUGCAUAUUGACGAAACACCACAUCCGAGUUAUUUAGUUCGCUCUCGUGGUACACAACAAUAUUAAAUGUUGUUAAACAUGGCAAGAGGUGAAAACAUAAGUAAACUAACUAUUUAGGCAAGUUUAAAUGAGGCCGGAACAACAACAACAAUUCCGGAAAAUCCUCAUGUCCAUAUUCUAGUUUUGGUAUUGUUCUGCCUAUUACAUAAUUUUAGAGUUGUUAAACAGGAAAAUAAAGUGGACCAUGUUAAACUAGGCAUUUUUCCACCCCAUUUACAUAUGAAGUUUAUUUAAAACCGAGCUACGGUUAUUUAGUUAUGAAAUAAAGCAUUUUAGCAUGGCAUUUAAGCAAAUUAAUGCAAACAACAAUUUAAACAUUUUAAACAUGGAUGAAAGUGCGAUAUUAUUAUUCUACACAAAAUUCUAAGCAUUUUACAUGUUUAAAUCAUUUUAAUCCGAUGCACGGUUCAUGAGUUAUUAAAUGCAUGAAGAUGAGGGUCUUUUCUAUAAAACUGCAAAACCUGGGAUAAUUGCUAAAAUCACAGAACUGGAAAAAAAACUACACGGGCCGAAACUGAAACUGGAGUAGGCCCAACAGUAAAAAAACAAGAGGCGCUGGGGGUGUGGCCUCGCCCAUGGGCUCGGCCCAGUCGGGGGAGAGGUGAGGCCGGCAGGGAGCGACGCGCUGGGCCUUGGCGCGGGACAGCGGGAGCUGGGCCCGGCACGGUCAACGCGGGAGGUCAAUGCACGUCUGGGACGAGCGGGCGAGGCAG